CCUACGGGAGGCAGCAGUGGGGAAUAUUGCACAAUGGGGGGAAGCCUGAUGCAGCGACGCCGCGUGGGGGAAGGAGGUCUUCGGUAUGUAAAGCUCUAUCAGCAGGGAAGAACAGUGACGGUACUAGACUGCGAAGCAUCGGCUAAAUCCGUGCCAGCAGCAGCGGUAAUACGGAUGGUGCCAGCGUUAUCCGGAUUUACUGGGUGUAAAGGGAGCGCAGGCGGUGCGUUAAGACCGGUGUGAAAUCCCGGGGCGCAACCUGGGGACUGCAUUGGGAACUGGCGCGCUGGAGUGCGGGAGGGGUAGGCGGAAUUCCUGGUGUAGCGGUGAAAUGCGUAGAUAUUAGGAGGAACACCAGUGGCGAAGGCGGCCGACUGGACCGUAACUGACGCUGAGGCUCGAAAGCGUGGGGAGCAAACAGGAUUAGAUACCCUAGUAGUC
rnacentral:rRNA from 1 species